rnacentral:lncRNA from 1 species
UUUUUUUUUUUUUUUACUGUAAACAAUACAGGUUAUUCCAAUGCCACCAAAGAGGAAGCCACCACCCCCAAGACCUCUGAAUGGUGCUAUCACGCAGGCGUUUACUCAAUCGAGUACGUAGCCUUCACCUACCAUCUAGUCUGCACCAGCCAUUGACAUGUAGUUCUAUAAUUGUUAUUUAGUUCUUACUUCAAGUGUUUUUGUUAUUGACAUAUAUUGUUCUAACACUUGCAGCAUUCCCAAUCUAGCAUAAGCAACUUGGUCGUACUCGUGCUUAGGCACAUCCCAGAUAGUCAAGACCACUCAUAUGAAGCUCGAAAUCAUGUAUGAAGACAGCGAUGGAUGACCAACUGGUCCUAAUUCUAGUCGAUUCAUAUCUAAAAUAGGAUCUAGUGUGAGAAUAUUUGCUCAUCUCCAAAAGAUCUUUUGGAAAGAUGCGACUGAAUUUAAAAAAUCCCCUAUUUAUGAAAGGUAGCAUUAUUGUUUAACUUGUUUUGUUUCUUGUCCUAGUAGAACUUUUGCACAUCUUUUUCUUUCUUUAAACAUGUCAUUGCUGAAGGAAAGAACGAAGUUAAUAAAAAGUUAAUAUACCAGGUAUCAAAAUGAAAGGUUCUCUAAAUGAUUAGAAGUCAAUAUCUUAAUUUAAAAUAUUGGAUGUUUGCAAAUGUUCAUUGACAUGUACGCAUAUCUUGAAUGAUAUGAAUUGCUGGCAUUUUAAUUUUGGUUGCUUGGAGUAACAACUUCAUAUUCCAAUAUAUUUGUGUGAAUUUUGUGCUCGUCAUUGUAUUUUCACUCAUGCUAUGUUGCUAUAUAUAGGUUAUUUUUUAUGUACAAUAUGAUAAAUAUGCCACUCUCAAAGAGUUCAUGGAGAAAUCAAUGGCCACUUCCUUGAAGGAGUUUCGAUAUGAGCUGUACACACAUUACAAGAAGUUUCUAGACCAACCAAUGGCUCAUAGGAAAGCUAAUAAGCCUAAAGAAAUCCGACAUCAGGUUGAUUGGGAUUAUUUAAGUGACUAUUGGGA